rnacentral:rRNA from 1 species
GAUGAACGCUGGCGGCGUGCCUAAUACAUGCAAGUCGAGCGAACAGAUGAGGAGCUUGCUCCUCUGACGUUAGCGGCGGACGGGUGAGUAACACGUGGAUAACCUACCUAUAAGACUGGGAUAACUUCGGGAAACCGGAGCUAAUACCGGAUAAUAUAUUGAACCGCAUGGUUCAAUAGUGAAAGACGGUUUUGCUGUCACUUAUAGAUGGAUCCGCGCCGCAUUAGCUAGUUGGUAAGGUAACGGCUUACCAAGGCAACGAUGCGUAGCCGACCUGAGAGGGUGAUCGGCCACACUGGAACUGAGACGCGGUCCAGACUCCUACGGGAGGCAGCAGUAGGGAAUCUUCCGCAAUGGGCGAAAGCCUGACGGAGCAACGCCGCGUGAGUGAUGAAGGUCUUCGGAUCGUAAAACUCUGUUAUUAGGGAAGAACAAAUGUGUAAGUAACUAUGCACGUCUUGACGGUACCUAAUCAGAAAGCCACGGCUAACUACGUG